UACAGAGACUGCAAGCGUUAUUCGGAUUCACUGGGCGUAAAGGGUGCGCAGGCGGCCGAGUGUGUGAGGCGUGAAAGCCCGGGGCUUAACCCCGGAAUUGCACCUCAAACUACACGGCUAGAGCAUUGGAGAGGGUAGCAGAAUUCAUGGUGUAGCAGUGAAAUGCGUAGAUAUCGGGAGGAACACCAGUGGCGAAGGCGACUACCUGGCCUGUUUCUUGACGCUGAGGCGCGAAAGCUAGGGGAGCAAACGGG
rnacentral:rRNA from 1 species